GCUAAAAGUCUUCAUGCUAGCAUGGAUAACAUUCUGGAUGAAAUUGCCCAGUUGAAACACAAGCAAACAUAAGUUAAAGCAGCACUAACAAAUGCUAAAUGGAAGCAAUCUAAUCUGACCUCGUAGAAUAUUAAAGCUUGUUUCAGCACAAGAAGUAGAAAGAAAGCGUGGAGUUCCGUUAGAUCAAACAGAAGAACAGAUUCGUAUGAGAUUAGAGGAUUUAUAUCUGCAGUUGAUGCAACCUACACAGUACAGGGGCUGCCUGAAUGAGCUCAUGGCGCAGAUGUCUGUCAAACCAGGGAACUCGAGAGGAAAUCCACAGCUAUUGGUUUGGUUGGGGACAAAGAAAAGGAC